GGCGGCGGCGGCAGCGGCGGCGGCGCCCGGAGAGACCCCGACCCGCGGCGCAGGCGGCGGCCGAGCGGGCGCGACCGGCCAGCGAGCGGCGGCGGCGGCGGCCGGGCUCUUCCUCGUCCGGCGCCCGCGGCCCGCGGAGACCCGCCUCCGCCGCUGAGGAGCCGCGCCGGGCGGGCGGCGGCGGGCGGGCGGCCCGGGCCGGCGGAGAGCGCUGCGGGCGGGGCGCGCGGCCGGCCGCCCGGCGCGGGAGCCGCGGAGCGGGACGCCGAGCGCCGAGCGGCGGCGGCGGGGCCCGCGCCCCUCCCUCCCUCCUCGCGGGCGGCGGCGGCGGAGCCUGGAACAUGGUCGGGGAAAUGGAAGCGAAGGAGAAGCCCAAGCCCACGCCGGAUUACCUGAUGCAGCUCAUGAACGACAAGAAGCUCAUGAGCAGCCUGCCCAACUUCUGCGGCCUCUUCAACCACCUGGAGCGGCUGCUGGACGAGGAAAUUAGCAGAGUACGGAAAGACAUGUACAACGAUACAUUGAAUGGCAGUGCAGAGAAGAGGAGUGCAGAAUUGCCUGAUGCUGUGGGACCUAUUGUUCAGUUACAAGAGAAACUUUAUGUGCCUGUAAAGGAAUACCCAGAUUUUAAUUUUGUUGGGAGAAUCCUUGGACCUAGAGGACUUACAGCUAAACAGCUUGAAGCAGAAACGGGAUGUAAAAUUAUGGUCCGGGGAAAAGGCUCAAUGAGGGAUAAGAAGAAGGAGGAGCAAAAUAGAGGCAAGCCCAAUUGGGAGCACCUCAACGAAGACUUGCACGUGCUGAUUACUGUGGAAGAUGCUCAAAACAGGGCAGAGAUCAAACUGAAGAGAGCCGUGGAAGAGGUGAAGAAAUUACUGGUCCCUGCAGCAGAGGGAGAAGACAGCCUGAAGAAGAUGCAGCUGAUGGAGCUUGCGAUUCUGAAUGGCACCUACAGAGAUGCCAACAUUAAAUCACCAGCCCUUGCCUUUUCUCUUGCAGCAACUGCCCAGGCUGCUCCAAGGAUUAUUACUGGGCCUGCGCCUGUUCUCCCACCAGCUGCCCUGCGCACCCCGACGCCAGCUGGCCCUACCAUAAUGCCUUUGAUCAGACAGAUCCAGACCGCGGUCAUGCCGAACGGGACUCCUCACCCCACUGCUGCAAUAGUUCCUCCGGGGCCUGAAGCUGGGUUAAUCUACACGCCCUACGAGUACCCCUACACGUUGGCACCAGCUACGUCGAUCCUUGAGUACCCUAUUGAGCCGAGCGGCGUAUUAGGUAUGGCUUUCCCAACGAAAGGCUAAGAAUUCAAGAACGGUCUUAACUGAACCCUCAUCAGAUCUGAAUUUAACAAACGCUUAGUCUCAGCAGCCGGGGGGGGGGAAGCUUAGCCUAGCAGUCAGUGGCUUACUUGCACUUUUUGCACACUGAUAGAAAGUAAAAGUAUGUUAUUAAUUUGGUUUAGUCUAUGAUCUUACAAAAUAACGGUAAUUUAUAGAGUGUGUAGUAGUGUACUGACUGCUAAGUGUACUAUACUGUUUGCUUUACUAAUCACCUAAUUCAUUGCAGUUCAUACUUAUUGACUCAAAGUUUAAAACCACAAUCUGUAGGCUUUAAGAAUUGCUUAUAAACCUUUUAAAGUGGUAAACUCUGGAAGUGGUCUUAAGGUUAGCAAGUACUUGUCAGUAUUAAACAUGGCAUUAUUUUUAAUCCUGCUGCAAGAAAGGCACUUCAGUGAAUAUGUGACUAGUAAAGCUUGGCGGUGUGGAACUACUGGCGUUGGUGAAGUCCUGUGACUUGGGAUUGUACACGAAUGGAUGACAUGGGUUAAGGCCAAGAUGUUUGAAGUGAAUGCAAUAUUAAUAGACGCAUAUAUACGCAACAUAUGAUGGUUAAUUUUAAAACUACUGUGCCUUAACGUGUUUCAUAAAAUGAAAUUUUUGUAGUAAAUGAACGUUUGAAAUCCGUUUUGAUAAACCUGCUGUUAAUGUUUGUUUUCUUUUCCCUUGUGAAUGUUUUCUAACUUUGUCUUGGUAAUUGCAAUUUAACUAGGUGCGGUGGCUACUAAAGUUCGAAGGCACGAUAUGCGUGUCCAUCCUUACCAAAGGAUUGUGACCGCAGACCGAGCCGCCACCGGCAACUAACCUAUGACCUUCUGACCUCUGAACUCUUCACCCAAUGAUGACCUGACCAUGCCUGCCUGCUGAUCAGUUAACUGGUAAUCGCCUUUGCUUGCCUGUCGUCAGUGCAGCGAGCUGAGGCACUUGUCCGUUCGUCUUACCAUCUAACCAAACAAAAGACAAAGAAAUUGUUGUCCUCCAACUCAGCUUUUGGUUUUUGUUGUUAUUUUUCCUGUUUGGGUGAAAAUGGUUCUAGAACCUGCACUGAAGUAGUAAAGCAAUAAGGCCCAAUUCCUCCCGCAGCACUGAUCAUCUUCCCAUCCCCGCCCUGAGCGAACGGUAAGAGGCCUCCCUCCGAGGCAGGCAGAGCCCGAGCUACUCAGUGACAGGCGGGUACUGUGAGGGACUCCGGAGCCUACUCCCGGGAGUCCAGCUCUGAAUGUACUGUGUGCUGAUGCAUCAUGCAUGAACCUUCGGUCAGGGAUGUCAGUGGUGAAGCGAUCCACAAGUUUUCAAAAUUUGAUAUGCUGUGUAGUCACUACAGUGCCCUCAAAGGGCAGCAUCGCAGCCUUGUAUGUUGCCUGCCAAAUUGGAAGUAUCGCGAGUGUGCCAUGAGAGAAAAACUUAAGGAAUUUUGAAAAGUAAUACAAAGAACAAAACUGCAACACUAUUUUUAAAAAGAUAAAUAUCUGAGUUAAAAUGACUGAACCUUUAUUUUACAGCUCCUUAAAAACAUACGAGAACAAGGUACAUGCAUUAUGUGUCACAUGACUGGGCAAACUGUUCAGAUAUUUUUUUUAAACCUCCCUGUAUAGAAAAAAAUCAUUAAGGAUGUAAAAGCCAUGCUUGCCUAUUUGCUGUAUACAUGUAAUGAAAUUGUAGAUAAAGUGUAGUGCAUUGAAACAAAUGAACAAAAAGUAGAUACUUUUACUAUACAAGGGUGCUGGUGCAGAAAAAAUAUAUAUAUUUUUGGAAAUGUAGCAUUUUAUACUUUCAAGUGUUAUAAAAAAAAGAAAAAGAACAAAGAAACCCUUUAUUUCAUUAAAUGAUUUUUUCUGGUGGUUGUCAAGAAACAAAAGACCAAAAGAGCCUUUUUGUCUUUCUUUUUUAUUUUUUAAGUAUUGGAAUAAGUCUAAAGAAAAGGAAGUGCCUUAUUUUUCUUCAUGGUCAUUUAGUCAAGUGUCUCGUAAGAUCAGCUCCUCCCUCAGAACACAAGUUAAUGCAUGUUACUCAGUCGCCCAGUAUGUGAAAGCAGAUGUGAGGGAGACAGAUGAGUUGAUGGUUUAAAUUUUAUAAUUUUUGCCACAUUACCUUGAUACAAAUUUGCCAAAUCUGAUACUGUGAAAAAAAUGGAUAAUUUUUCUAAUGCCUGACAUAUAAGUUUUGAAACAUUCUUUUAAAAUCAUAAUUGAUUGCUUUUAGUUAUUGCAAUAUUUAAUAUUACCCCACGGGACUCUGAGAUAAAAAUUGUGUGAUUUGAACAUCAGUUUAUAGACAAAAUUAGAGCUCUUUUUUUUUAUUCAGAGACGAGGGUGUUUAAAUGGCCCAAACUUUACCAGACUUCUUUUUGCCAUACAAUCACUUGGGCAGCCUGUCCCCUCCCGGUUUUAAUAACCUGGCCUGCCCCACACCCCUGCACACGUUGUUCUGACUUUAAAGGAAUGUGAAAGCGAGCAUCGCGCGCACAUAAGGACUCCAUCCAGCUGAGGUGAAGCUUCCAGUUCUCAUGGAGCUCAGCUGGGGUAGCUGACGUGCAUGGAGCCUACAUGUGUCUGACCCUCACACAUUCACUGCUCAGUACCAGGCGUGGCAAAUGACAGGGCAGUGGGUCCCUCUUACGUACCUGCACAGUCAAGGUCAGCAGCAGCUCAUUGAGCACCGCAGUGACCGGCACCCGCCCCUGGAACCGGUUCAGUUCAUUACUAUGCAAUAGACUCUCGUUGUUUUGUAGCCGCCAGCUUGGGUGUCAUGUGCCACUGCUCCGUCUUUCUGUUACACAGACCGUUGUUCGGAUUUAUUUACAAUAUGUGCUGUGCCAUUUUGACUUUUAUUUUGUUUGGUUGGUUGAAUAAAUUUGCGACACUCAAAACUUGAGGUGAUAGUAGUUUAAAAACAAUACCAGUAUUUGAUCCAGUUUCAUCUCAGCUGUGUUAUACCUGGACAUUUUAGAUGUUUAUCAAAGGUCUUUCAUGGGGAAGAAAGAACAUGUAUGAAAUAGAUGUGUGACAUUUAUGAGUAAUGUUGGCUCUGAAAAAACUUUUGAAAACUUAGUUGAAACAAUUUUGGAUCAACUAAAAAUAAGCAUGACUUUUGAAAUCUCUGAAUGCCUUGGUUCUCAGUAUUAUCAUUCUUUAGUGAAUUUGUUUCUUAUUAAAAUAUGUAGUUUUUAAGACUUUUUUUGACAGUAUUAUGUAAUUUUCUAGCGUGGGUAGAUGGGAGUGUCGCUUGUAUGUUACCGUACAGCUGACAUGUAUUUUUGUCUAUUCUUUAUUAUCUUAGUAGUUUCAUGCUAUGUAUGUACCAUAACCAACCUAUUGCCUAUGAGAAACAUGUAAGAUAAUGUAUUUACAGCCAUUGUUACAAGUUUAUAAUGUAUUUUUCUAUCUUGUUUUAUAUGUAUGUUAUAUAACAUUCAAAAAGAAUUUUUUUCUUGAUUGAGAAAAGGAUACAAAAUGCAAAAUUCACAAUUUUGAUAACUGAAAAUUGCCAAUUGUUUUGCAGUACUUUAUUAUAUUGGGUGUCUUGUCUUUCUUGGGCUUUUUAGUUAGCUAAUGAAUGAAUACAUUAGAUACUUUUGGGUUUUAGUUGGGAUUUUACAUAGCUUGCGUUUUAAUUCUUUGGUUCUUUGCUGUUUCUAUUAACCCAUGGCAUUAUUUUAAUAAAUGUUAUAAUACCAACCUA